rnacentral:rRNA from 1 species
AUGCUGGAGCAUCCGCAUGAGACUAGGCUGGCGGCGGCGGCAGCGCGCCGGCGGCAGGAACUCGUGGACAAUCUCACUUCGGAGGGCAAGGCGAUCUAUAAGAUGGUCACGCACGCAAGCGAGGCGACCCAUCUUCGCCACCAGAAGGAGAUUGAGGCGAUGAUUGUUGCGGCGGUGGGCGGCGCAGUUGAGGCGGUGGUGUCGCACUCGGUCGGGGCGGCCGUCGACAAGGCCAUCGAGGCGGCGAUGGAAACAGCCGUGAACGACAUGCAAGCGUACACUGACGGCGCCGAAGCGGACCUCCUCAAGCAGAUCCAGGAACUGCGCGUCGCCAAGGGUUCGACAACUCGUCCCAAUGAAGCAAAAGGGGCCGAGCGCUCUCCCAAGGGCGCGGCGGAAGGGAACACGCAGGCGUUCCGUUGA